UUGAAAUUGUCGGGAGGG
rnacentral:snRNA from 1 species